rnacentral:rRNA from 1 species
GACGAACGCUGGCGGCGUGCUUAACACAUGCAAGUCGAACGGAAAGGCCCUGCUUUUGUGGGGUGCUCGAGUGGCGAACGGGUGAGUAACACGUGAGUAACCUGCCCUUGACUUUGGGAUAACUUCAGGAAACUGGGGCUAAUACCGGAUAGGAGCUCCUGCUGCAUGGUGGGGGUUGGAAAGUUUCGGCGGUUGGGGAUGGACUCGCGGCUUAUCAGCUUGUUGGUGGGGUAGUGGCUUACCAAGGCUUUGACGGGUAGCCGGCCUGAGAGGGUGACCGGCCACAUGGGGACUGAGAGACGGCGCAGACGGGUACGGGGGGCAGCAGUGGGGAAUAUUGUACAGUGAGCGGAAGCCUGAUGCAGCAACGCCGCGUGCGGGAUGACGGUCUGCGGGUUGUAAAACGCAUUCGCCUGUGACGAAGCGUGAGUGACGGUAAUGGGUAAAGAAGCACCGGCUAACUACGUG